AAUAGUCAUUGUGAAAAGAAUUAGAGGCCUGCAUUUCCGUGAGUCCUGCCAGGUUAAUACCACUGCCUAUCUCCCUGACAGCUACAAGAUUGAUUACCAGCUUCAGCGCUCUUUAUAACUUGAUCAGGCGAAUUAAUCUCUGGCUGUGGGCCCAUCUGAUGCCUGGCAUCACAAAUUUAAUUUGGAGGUGUAGCAGUUCUUUUACAGUUCUCCCCUUCCCUUCACUGUUUUCUCCCCCUGCUGUGCAUGUAGCAAGUGUGGUGUUGCCGUAACAACGAGGCCUAGUGAUGGCUUCUAACUUGAGGCCUGAGCUGUCAAGGCUUCAGCGGCCCCAUGGGAGAUGUUUCAUCAGAUUGCAGCCUUCGAAAGGAACAAAACAUGACAAGAAACCCACAUGUGCUGCAAAAAAUGGCAAACCUCACAUCGUCACUCUGUGAUUUCUCAGGCCCUGUUCUGCAGAAUUGGUUGACAAUGAUGUUUGGUGCCAGGGUACAAGGAUACAAGAAGCCCAUCUCUGAAAGAGAAUGCAUAAACCUUGGAUUUCCUUCUUCCAGCAGCUCAGAGCACUGAACCACAUCCAGAAAAAAAGUGAUGUUGCCUAAUCAAUGGGCACAAAUUCAUGAAGCACUGCAUUAAAAAAAAC